CCAGCAGCUGCGGUAAUUCCAGCUCCAAUAGCGUAUAUUAAAGUUGUUGCGGUUAAAAAGCUCGUAGUUGGAUUUCUGCCGAGGACGACCGGUCCGCCCUCUGGGUGAGUAUCUGGCUCGGCUUGGGCAUCUUCUUGGAGAACGUAGCUGCACUUGACUGUGUGGUGCGGUAUCCAGGACUUUUACUUUGAGGAAAUUAGAGUGUUUCAAGCAGGCAUACGCCUUGAAUACAUUAGCAUGGAAUAAUAAGAUAGGACCUCGGUUCUAUUUUGUUGGUUUCUAGAGCUGAGGUAAUGAUUAAUAGGGAUAGUUGGGGGCAUUCGUAUUUAACUGUCAGAGGUGAAAUUCUUGGAUUUGUUAAAGACGGACUACUGUGAAAGCAUUUGCCAAGGAUGUUUUCAUUGAUCAAGAACGAAAGU
rnacentral:rRNA from 1 species